rnacentral:rRNA from 1 species
UACGGGGGGGGCAAGCGUUGUUCGGAAUUACUGGGCGUAAAGGGUUUGUAGGUGGCUUGUUAAGUCAGACGUGAAAUCCCUCAGCUUAACUGGGGAACUGCGUCUGAUACUGGCGAGCUUGAGUGCAGGAGAGGAACGCGGAAUUCCAGGUGUAGCGGUGAAAUGCGUAGAUAUCUGGAGGAACACCGGUGGCGAAGGCGGCGUUCUGGACUGCAACUGACACUGAGAAACGAAAGCCAGGGUAGCAAACGGG